rnacentral:lncRNA from 1 species
GGUAAAUCGUCCCAUCCAGUCCCCGUCCGCUACACAUGAAAUCAGCUAUACCUUCUCUUGGUUCAACUUUUCCUUUUAGUUUAUAUAUAGCAAAAUGAAAGGUAUCAGCUAAUGUUAAAUAUAAUAUACGUACUUUUUAAGACCUACAAAAGCAGUAGAAAUUUUGGGUAAUGAUAACUGAAUCUCUGAUCCUCCUGCUUGAAGCUAAAAGGAGCAAGACUCUCUAUGAACUGUAC